GACAGAGGGUGCAAACGUUGUUCGGAAUUACUGGGCGUAAAGCGAGUGUAGGCGGUGUGGUAAGUCGGAUGUGAAAGCCCCGGGCUCAACCCCGGGAAGUGCAUUCGAUACUGCCACGCUAGAGUAUCGGAGAGGUUGGUGGAAUUCUCGGUGUAGAGGUGAAAAUUCGUAGAUAUUCGCAAGAACACCAGUGGCGAAGGCGGCUCACUGGCCCGGUACUGACGCUGAGGUGCGGAAAGCGUGGGGAGCAAACAGGG
rnacentral:rRNA from 1 species